rnacentral:rRNA from 1 species
CCUACGGGAGGCAGCAGUGAGGAAUAUUGGUCAAUGGACGAGAGUCUGAACCAGCCAAGUAGCGUGAAGGAUGACUGCCCUAUGGGUGGUAAACUUUUUUUAUAAAGGAAUAAAACGAGGCACGUGUGCCUUUUUGCAUGUACUUUAUGAAUAAGGAUAGGCUAACUCCGUGCCAGCAGCCGCGGUAAUACGGAGGAUCCGAGCGUUAUCCGGAUUUAGUGGGUGUAAAGGGAGCGUAGAUGGGUUGUUAAGUCAGUUGUGAAAGUUUGCGGCUCAACCGUAAAAUUGCAAUUGAUACUGGCAGUCUUGAGUGCAGGUGAGGUAAGCGGAAUUCGUGGUGUAGCGGUGAAAUGCUUAGAUAUCACGAAGAACCCCGAUGGCGAAGGCAGCUUACUAAACUGUAACUGACAUUGAUGCUCGAAAGUGUGGGUAUCAAACAGGAUUAGAUACCCCUGUAGUC